AACAAACGCUGGCGGCGUGCCUAAUACAUGCAAGUCGAACGGGGAAAGCUUUCGGGUGAGUACUAGUGGCGCACGGGUGAGUAACGCGUGGAUAAUCUGCCUUAGAGUGGGGGAUAACUAGUCGAAAGAUUAGCUAAUACCGCAUAAGACCACAGGAGCUGCGGCUCAAGGGGUCAAAGGUUUUUCGCUUUAAGAUGAGUCCGCGUAAGAUUAGCUAGUUGGUGAGGUAACGGCUCACCAAGGCGACGAUCUUUAACUGGUCUGAGAGGAUGAUCAGUCACACUGGAACUGAGACACGGUCCAGACUCCUACGGGAGGCAGCAGUAGGGAAUAUUGCACAAUGGAGGAAACUCUGAUGCAGCGACGCCGCGUGAGUGAUGAAGGCCUUCGGGUCGUAAAGCUCUGUCGCAGGGGAAUAACACAAUGAAGGUACCCUGUAAGAAAGGAUCGGCUAACUUCGUGCCAGCCGCCGCCGUAAUAC
rnacentral:rRNA from 1 species